GACGUGCUUGCACUGAUUUCAACAAUGAAGCGAGUGGCGAACUGGUGAGUAACACGUGGGGAAUCUGCCCAGAAGCAGGGGAUAACACUUGGAAACAGGUGCUAAUACCGUAUAACAACAAAAUCCGCAUGGAUUUUGUUUGAAAGGUGGCUUCGGCUAUCACUUCUGGAUGAUCCCGCGGCGUAUUAGUUAGUUGGUGAGGUAAAGGCCCACCAAGACGAUGAUACGUAGCCGACCUGAGAGGGUAAUCGGCCACAUUGGGACUGAGACACGGCCCAAACUCCUACGGGAGGCAGCAGUAGGGAAUCUUCCACAAUGGACGAAAGUCUGAUGGAGCAAUGCCGCGUGAGUGAAGAAGGGUUUCGGCUCGUAAAACUCUGUUGUUAAAGAAGAACACCUUUGAGAGUAACUGUUCAAGGGUUGACGGUAUUUAACCAGAAAGCCACGGCUAACUACGUGCCAGCAGCCGCGGUAAUACGUAGGUGGCAAGCGUUGUCCGGAUUUAUUGGGCGUAAAGCGAGCGCAGGCGGUUUUUUAAGUCUGAUGUGAAAGCCUUCGGCUUAACCGGAGAAGUGCAUCGGAAACUGGGAGACUUGAGUGCAGAAGAGGACAGUGGAACUCCAUGUGUAGCGGUGGAAUGCGU
rnacentral:rRNA from 2 species